GGCGGGCAGCCCAGCUGUAUCGACGGGUAUUGGGGCGUAGCGGAGGCGGAAGAAAAAUGAUAAACUAUCUAAUUUUUGCUUCACUUUCCUUAUCUAACAUCCAUUUGUAGAUACAUCUGCGUAUGAUUGAUCUUAUACCAGAGAAGUAAAGCGAAUUAAGAUAACACAACGUGUUUUAUGUCGAACAGAAAAAUGCUUCUCUCUGGCUUUUCCCGCCCCCCUUUUUCAAAAUAUUUCUCUCCUCAUCAACUUUCGCAGAAUUUAUUCAUAAAUUUUUACUUUCUGAUAAUUAAAGCGCCUCCAUCAUUACUUAUCUCCUCGGUCCCGCUGCCCACCCCAUCCAACGGCGCCCUUUUCCUUUUGUUUUAAGCUUUCUUCCGACGCCUCCACUUAUUCGUCCGGAAUUUUCUCAUUAGCGUGCCAUUUACCGAUACCGCGCCGGGGUGCGCGCCUACCUAGGUCGGCCCGUGCCUCGGUCCCGACCUACGGCCGGGCGCCUGAGAUACUUAGACCCAGCCUAGCUAUCCGGGGAAAGGACGGAGUUGGCCGGGCCCGGGAUAGAAACGGCCGCCGCCGACUGCGGCUUCCCCCAGCCACCGAGUGGGACCUCCCGCCUUCACUAGCCGGUCUCGGCCGAUCGGCGCGAGCGCGUAUAUUUUAUUUAAGUAAGGGUGGAGAGUCGGAGAUAGAAUACGGAACCCGAUUAUUUAUCCGGUGGCUGGGGGAACCCCAACGCUCAAAUUUCCUGUCCUUCCCACCGCCUUAAACCCAGAGAAAUUUGCUCGGACUCGACGGAGGCCCAGUCCAGCCGAGAGACCACCGAUCGCACCUACUAUGGCCAGCCCGGGUGAAGAACCACCCAAAUUCCUACCGUUAAUAGCCGAGAAAGUAGUCCGGGUGGGUAGGUUAACCGGAGGUUUUCCGGGGGUGCCGGAGAAAGUCGGCCAAAAUCCGAGUCUGGGAUCACCCCAGCCAUUGGCAGUGAAGGGUCCGGUGCCGGCUAUCCGACGGAGGAGGUCGGUCCAGCUGGGAAAGGAAAGGCCAGAUUCUGGCCCCGGGCAAAUUUUCCGAUCGGAACCGCUUUUAACGGCGACCUAUCGGCCCCGACUAUCGACGCCCCACCGGUGACCACCACCAGCUGACGAGAAUUAGGGGCGAAAACGGUGUUUGCAAAGGGGCCGGGGCUAAGACGUUUUCCCAUCGAGACUGGUAUCCACGGCCGAGUCCAGGAAAGCGGCCCAUCCCGGUAGCCGGCUAAUUUAUCCGCAGGGUCGGGCCCAGGCUAGUCGAUUUAAUCGGUUUCCGAGCUUUAGUCCGGGAGUCAGUCAGCCAUCUCUGAAAAAUCCGGAGUUAAGUUGGAGGAAGGUUAGAGACCGGAAAGUUAGCGGUGGGUGAGGGCCCGACCCUUCCGCCCGUUGGGUAGGUAGGAUGGGAGACGGGACGCCCGCUAUCUCCGGCGGCGAAAACUCCGUAGAGCACGGGCCCGCCUAUAUAAAAAGAAAUUUCAAUUGGGUUUUUAUUCCGCCUUUGGUGGAGCGACCGGUACGGUCCCAACCCCAGCGGGCCCAGGGAGAAACGUUGGGUGGAAGGUAACGGCGGAGGUGGCGCCGUCCCAAAGGCGGUGGGCGGAGGGUGGUCCGCCUAAUGGGGACACUCCGAUGGUGGGAGAAAUACACCUCCUUUAGCUAAAGAUUUUAUUUGGGGGCGGAGGGGUAAAAGAAGCCGUUAACCGUGGCAAGGUGGACCGUGACGGAUGACGGCGCGCCGUCGACGCUAUCGAUCUGGGGCGCUGACAAACGGCGCCAGGCCGAAUUCGGCUCCACCGGCACUUCCAAUUCCGCGGUCGAGGGUGAAGAAUCCCAGCCUUAAAUAAAUCGGCCGGGUCUUUUUCCCGGUCCGGAAUAGGUGGGGAGUGUUAGCUGGCCGAUCGGGAGCCUCCGAAUUCCAUAGCCGGCCCUGUCUAAGUGUUGGAGCAGCGAUAGGAGAAAUUUGCCGAAUAAAAUUGGUGCCGACCGUAUUAGCCUACCUAGGGGAAAUGUAAGAAUUUUUUCCAAGUAGGAAAAGGAUUUGGGAAGAGAAGCGGCCGGAGGGAGACCCUCUUUGUGUCGGCAGCGGGCGGAGGAUAAGUUGGGAAGAUUAAUGGAGGCGAUAAUAACGAUACAACAAAGGAGAAAUACGACGAGUGAAUCGAUUAAAAACAGUCAUUAAGAAGAUGGAUAGCGCCACCACUGGAGUAUUUUUAUCUCUCCCAGUCGUAAAUAAAAUUCUCUUUAUUAUUCGGCAUAUUGACGUUUUUUACUCUUUCCUGUCUGUCUGAACUAGUCGUCCACUCGGCCUCUCAGCCGUGGCCCGGAUGGCCCUCACCUCCGCUACUGGGCUAGCCGGUCGGCCCGGUUAAACCGACCGACACCGCCUUUCGGAACCCGCCCGCGGCUGCGGGUUAGAUCGGGUACAGACAGCCCUACUACGGCCGCUUAUGGAAAGUGUCCGGAGGUGGGUGGGAAGAAAGGGUGCCGUCCUGCCACCGUUUAAGCGGGUCCGGGGGCUACUCCCAACAUUCCCACGGCUAACGGCUACCGGUGGCUUAACCGGCCGCCCUUUUAAAGUAGACGAAUCUGUCACCAGUCAGUUCGAUCGGCAGUUUAGGCCUGGGGUCCAAUUUCCAACAUUCCGGGGUUGCGAUUAGCCUAGGUUGUCCGGCCGAAAGAUUUAACCGGUUUCUUCUAAUAUAAAAAAAGAUAUUCCGAGUAAAUAUGUGUUGUGGUAGAGUCCAGUCCCGAUUUUCCUUUCAAACGGAAAGCGUUCUCCGCCGCCAAAUUAGGCCCUAUUUUACAGGCUGGAAAGCCUAGGCCGCGGGCCAAACUGGGCCGAAGAAACUUUCUUGGGGCUAAAGUCUGGCUUCCGAAUUAGGGCUGGCAGAGACCAGCGUUUGGAGGCCGUAGAAAUAAGGCCGGUGGACCAACCGCGGACGGGACCUAUUUAAGGGCCGAGAGGGCUGGUGGGCUGGAAAAGCCGGUGGAUAAAAAAAGGAAAGGACUGCCGGUAUAAGUAAUUUAUCCGAAAUGCAAAUUAUUUGUUUAUUUUCAUCCAAUUUUCUCGGCAACCUUCUCCCCGGAGAGUACAUAUGCUUUUCUAAACCGUUUUCGAUCCGUCCGCCAUUUAUCUUCCUCUCUGUCAUCUUCUCUACGUGAAGUAAAGCGGUAGACAGUUUCUUGCUUCCGACCAAAUAUCGUUUCUAUUUCCGCUUCAUCUAAAUCCAGG
rnacentral:lncRNA from 1 species